rnacentral:rRNA from 1 species
GCAGCUAGAGAUAGCUGUGUCCUUCGGGACAAGGAGACAGGUGGUGCAUGGUUGUCGGUUCAGCUCGUGUCGUGAGAUGUUGGGUUAAGUCCCGCAACGAGCGCAACCCCUGUGUUAGUUGCCAGCAAGUAGCGUUGGGCACUCUAGCCAGACUGCCGGUGAUAAAUCGGAGGAAGGUGGGGACGACGUCAAAUCAUCAUGCCCUUUAUGUCCUGGGCUACACACGUACUACAAUGGCCGUUACAACGGGAAGCGAAGGAGCAAUCCGGAGCAAAUCCCUUAAAGGCGGUCCCAGUUCAGAUUGUGGGCUGAAACUCGCCCACAUGAAGGCGGAAUUGCUAGUAAUUGCAGAUCAGCAUGCUGCAGUGAAUACGUUCCCGGGCCUU